GAUGAACGCUAGCGGCAGGCUUAAUACAUGCAAGUCGAGGGGCAGCACAGGGUAGCAAUACCUGGGUGGCGACCGGCAAACGGGUGCGGAACACGUACAGAACCUUCCUUCGAGCGGGGAAUAGCCCAGAGAAAUUUGGAUUAAUACCCCAUAGCAUAAUGGAGUGGCCUCACUUUGUUAUUAAAGAUUUAUCACUUGAAGAUGGCUGUGCGUAUGAUUAGGUAGUUGGCGGGGUAACGGCACACCAAGCCUACGAUCAUUACACUGGUGUGAGAGCACGAACAGUCACACGGGCACUGAGACACGGGCCCGACUCCGACGGGAGGCAGCAGUAAGGAAUAUUGGUCAAUGGACGCAAGUCUGAACCAGCCAUGCCGCGUGGAGGAUGAAGGUCCUCUGGAUUGUAAACUUCUUUUAUCUGGGACGAAAAAAGGGAAUUCUUUCUCGUCUGACGGUACCAGAUGAAUAAGCACCGGCUAACUCCGUGCCAGCAGCCGCGGUAA
rnacentral:rRNA from 1 species